GACGAACGCUGGCGGCGUGCUUAACACAUGCAAGUCGAACGGAAAGGCCCUGCUUUUGUGGGGUGCUCGAGUGGCGAACGGGUGAGUAACCCGUGAGUAACCUGCCCUUGACUUUGGGAUAACUUCAGGAAACUGGGGCUAAUACCGGAUAGGAGCUCCUGCUGCAUGGUGGGGGUUGGAAAGUUUCGGCGGUUGGGGAUGGACUCGCGGCUUAUCAGCUUGUUGGUGGGGUAGUGGCUUACCAAGGCUUUGACGGGUAGCCGGCCUGAGAGGGUGAACGGGCACAUUGGGACUGAGAUACGGCCCAGACUCCUACGUGAGGCAGCAGUGGGGAGUAUUGCACAAUGGGCGGAAGCCUGAUGCGGCAACGCCGCGUGCGUGAUGACGGCCUUCGGGUUGUAAACCGCUUUCGCCUGUGACGAAGCGUGAGUGACGGUAAUGGGUAAAGAAGCACCGGCUAACUACGUG
rnacentral:rRNA from 1 species